rnacentral:rRNA from 1 species
GGGAAUAUUGGACAAUGGGCGAAAGCCUGAUCCAGCAAUGCCGCGUGGGUGAAGAAGGUUUUCGGAUUGUAAAGCCCUUUCGGCGGGGACGAUGAUGACGGUACCCGCAGAAGAAGCUCCGGCUAACUUCGUGCCAGCAGCCGCGGUAAUACGAAGGGGGCUAGCGUUGCUCGGAAUGACUGGGCGUAAAGGGCGCGUAGGCGGUUUGUACAGUUGGAUGUGAAAUUCCUGGGCUUAACCUGGGGGCUGCAUUUGAGACGCGUGGUCUAGAGUAUGAAAGAGGGUCGUGGAAUUCCCAGUGUAGAGGUGAAAUUCGUAGAUAUUGGGAAGAACACCGGUGGCGAAGGCGGCGACCUGGUUCAUUUACUGACGCUGAGGCGCGAAAGCGUGGGGAGCAAAC